rnacentral:ncRNA from 3 species
CCCUGUUGAGCUUGACUC